rnacentral:rRNA from 1 species
UACGGAGGGGGCUAGCGUUGUUCGGAAUUACUGGGCGUAAAGCGCACGCAGGCGGGGGCGCGCGUGGGGUGUGAAACCUGGCCGCUUAACGGCCAGCGGCCAUCCCAUACGGCGCGCCUGGAGCCUUGCAGAGGGCGGUGGAAUUGCCGGUGUAGUGGUGGAAUGCGUAGAGAUCCGGAGGAACACCAGUGGCGAAGGCGGCUGCCUGGGCCUGGCCUGACGCUGAGGCGCGAAAGCGUGGGGAGCGAACAGG